UGUAUAUGUGGUGGGGAAGGUACACCUGGGGCAGUCAGAGGAAGACUGUGAGGCAGUCAGUUCUCACCUUCAAUCUUUAUGAGGACUUCAGGGAUUGAACUCGGGAUACCGGACUUGCACGGCAAGCGCCUCUAACCUACGGAGCCCUCUCACCAGACCUUCUUUUUGAUUUUAGAUUCUUUCUGCUUCACCUGCCCUAUGCACUCUCUCAUUCACAGCAUUUCACAUUCCUGCUUGAAACCCUCCCACGUCUCUCUCUCUCUGAGUGACUUUGCAAAUUGUCCCCAUGCAGACAGCAGAAAAGUGUUCCCAAUUCAAAACCCUGGCAAGCUUGCUCCACGUGGGGAACUGGAGAAAAGGCAUCCUUGCCUGAGGCAAAGGCAUUUACGCCUUCUAGGGAGUUACAUGAUUAGGGAAAGCAGGCACUGUAGAGGGGGUGUACGGAGGCUAACUGGAACUUAAUCUAUUAGAAGACGAAAGGCCUUUGAAAGGCGAAUUAACGAUAUUUAUCACGGCAUCAGAUCGUGGUGAUAAAUGCCCGUAAACUCAUGGAUAACACCAGGCCGAUGAGAUGAGGAACAGCCCUUAUGGACAGUUGCUCUGUCUGGGAUUUGGCCUGGUCGAGGUUCUUGGGCAGAGUUGUAGGACGUGGUGUCCUGGUGUGUGACUGACUGCUGUUCUGGUGAAGCUUCUGCCUUGCAUUUCAAUCUUCCAGUUGACAACCGAACCACAACUCCAGGUUCUCGCCUUGAACCCAGAGCUCACUGAGUCACCUAGCCUGGCUGCCCAGUGAGUUCAAGACCUCUUCCUGUCUCCACCUUCCCAUUGCUGCUGCACCCGGGUUUUCAUAUGGGUGCUGGAGAUCUGACCGCAGGUCCUCAUUGUUUGCAUAGAUGAACAUCCAAGCAUUACACACGGUUCUCUAAGAGUAUAAAACGUUGACCGCACCACUUAGCCAAGGUUCCCCAGCCCCCAGGAGAGGACAAAGAGAGAUGAAGCCUGAGGAAACACAGACAUUUCUGUGUGAAACCAAGAAGACAUCCUGUCCUACUCGUGUCCUCAUAAACAUUAAACUUCUUUUUAAAUGUUCCACCAGCUGCAGACCAAGCACUUAUUAUGUAUGAACUUAUGGGGGCCAUUCUCAUCCAAAACACCACAGAUGGCAUGCAGGGAGCUCGGACCUGUGGACAGUUCUUGUUCUGCAGUGAUCUUGCCAGUUCCUUUUCUGAAGAUAUAAAUCGUGCAAUGUGGAGGUGCACAGUUCAAGGACAACAAGCCAGUGGCACUGUAACACCAGGUAAAAAUCCUCCCGCCUGACCCCAGGCUUUGGAAAUAUUCCUGUUCGUCUGAAAUAUACUCUGUCUACUUGGGAGUGCAAAUGUUCGACCGCUUGUAUAAUUCACAGUUUUUAUAAAGGCAAGUAAUACAGGUGAGCAAGAGAGAGAUGCCGGUUGAGUGAAUGAAGAGAGGAGUCUGCACUUGUGCUCACCUCCAGUAGCCAACAGCUAUCGGAGCUGCAGUAAUGGGCAACACUGAGCUCUGCUCGCCCUUUGGUUGCUGCU
rnacentral:sRNA from 1 species